CUGAGUGAGGGCCCUCUGGGUCCAACCUCCCACCCGUGUUUAAUCGUACCUUGUUGCUUCGGCGGGCCCGCCUCACGGCCGCCGGGGGGCCCUGCGCCCCCGGGCCCGCGCCCGCCGAAGACACCAUCGAACGCUGUCUGAAGUUUGCAGUCUGAGCAGAUUUAGCAAAAUCGUUA
rnacentral:misc_RNA from 2 species